AAAAAAGUAUAGCCUCUGCCAUCGAAUCUUUUUUGUGAUUCAUUGAAGGUAUAUUAUUUCUAUAUACUCACAUUCUUUGAUUACAAGCUCUAGGGUUUUCUUUUUUUAAAAAUUGUUCACUGUUUUUUUUUUAAAUUUUGUUUGAUUUGUGAUUCGAUUAAUGAAGUAUGAUUGCGAUGUAAAAUCGUGGAGUUUAGAGGAUUCGAUUUUGAUUUUUUUUUAUUUUAGUUUAGAGUGGCUUUUACUGUGUAAGAUAGAGCAUUUUUCGUUUGAUGAGGCUGGGUUUUGUUGAUUAGUUGAAUAAUGAAGUACUAUUGUGGAAUUUCACUGAAUUAUUGUUUUUUCUUGGACUGCUAUGUGACUGAAUUUUAGAUUGGGUUUAAUUAAAGCAAGGAAAGUUAAGUUGAAUGCAAUUGUAUAUGUUAUCUCUGGCUUACUCAAAAAAAGGUAGAAACAGAAAAGCAAUGUUGAUUAGGAAAUAAUUAAAAUGGGAAUAUUGCUAUUACUGAUUGCUAUGUACUAGAUGUCACUGGCAGCUGAAAUCAAAGUUAGUUUCAUUAGUUAAAUAAUGUUUGUCCUUCUAGAUCUUAUUUGGGUGAGAUAGAUAUUUAGUGAUAUGAUAUAUAGAAUAUUUUCAGCUGGAGCAGCUAGUUAAAUAGUGGCAGCGUUCUUUGGUUCGAGUUUAAUUAAUUUGCUGAAAUUGACUUGGGGCUAACUUUGCGAACUAUGAUUCUAUCAGAUAAAACAAGGUAAAUUAUUUAAUAUAUAUAAUUUUUCAUGAUGAGGUGAUGUGGCACCCUCAUGAAUCAAGGUGAGAUAGUUAAUGAAGCCAGCCCCGUAUUUUUACAAUCAUUUAUUUUCUUUUCCAUAUUUGUUUAAUUAGUUCUAAUUUGAUAAUGUAAGGUUUUAAAAUUUUUUCCAGCACCUAUACUCUGAUUUGAAUAUUAUAAUUAUUGUAUGCAACAGAUGCAAAUCUUUCUUUGAAUUUGUUUACUUUUUAUGCAAAUAAACUA
rnacentral:lncRNA from 1 species